GUCUGCAAUGUUUUCUGGCUGCGCAGCAUAUCCAAACGCCACCUGCCACUCCAAUUACUGCGGAGGGUGCAACGCAGAUUGGUACGUCAAUGAUGUGAAGGUCGAGUGUCAUCCCGCUUCAGUGACUGGACAUGUGAACAUUUGAAAACAAUAAAUAUCUAAACCUAAA